rfam:Faecalibaculum rodentium strain Alo17, complete genome.
CUACCGGCAACGGGGUCUCUGAAAGAAGCCGGCGGCAAAGUUCCAGCCCGAGGAACACGAAUCGCAUACGAGGCCACAGACGGAGAUGAGCGUGCUGCGCAGCGCAAAUCGCAAUAGUCGCGGAGCUGUCUGGGGUAAAUGCGGCGGGUAGAUGGAAUGAAAGAUAUGUGA